AUGUAAAUCACUUAGAGGUCUUGUUAAGAUGCAGAUUUUGAUUUAGUGAGUCUUGAGUGGGGCCUCAGAAUCUGUAUUUCUGACAGGUUCCCAGGUGAUGCUGGU
rnacentral:pre_miRNA from 1 species